rnacentral:lncRNA from 10 species
GUGAGUUUAUAUCUGUUUCUACCACUGGAUUAUAAAUACUUCCAGGAUAGAGAUCUAGUUUAUAUCACUCACCAUUCUCUUCCCUUAGUGCCUGGUAUGUAGUAGGUGUUCAAUAAAUGUGUACUGAAAGAAUGGAUGAGUGAUAUGAUAUUGAUCUGUACCUAUUUUUUCUUUUUAGUCUAUCUUUGUUGAGUUUUGGUAUUGAUUUUAUGUGUCAGUACCUGAGAAGGAGAGAAGUCCUUGAGUUGUUUCGUAAAUGUGGCUCAAGUGAGAUGCUGAACAGUGCCAGCCAUGUGGACUCUGCCACAGUGAAGGAGGAAGGCAGCACUGAGAAGUGAAGGAAUAUUUGGGAGGAUCAGAAGCUUGGUCCUGAUUUUGCCAUCAACAGGAACUUGAUGACUUCAAGGGAGUCCCCAAACCCUGGGUUUCUGUUUUCUCAACUCUAACAUGAGGGGCUAGAUGCAUCUGGUUUAGUUAGUCUCCAUGAUGGUUUAGUUCGUCUCCAUGAUCCUGUGAAUUUCAGAUGUUGAAAAUCUUCGGAAAAGCCCUGAAAGAUGAACAGUGGUCUCAAAUAGUCAAGACCCCCUGCUGGGAGGAGCUUCUAUCCUGCUCUGUGGAAGAAAUGGGCAUGCCAGAUGCCUGGAAGAUCAGAGGCUCACAUUCCAGCUGUAGGUGGCCCACCAGGUGUCAACAACUGUAGAGUUCCAUCAAGAGUCAUCAUUUUACAGUUACAAGUCGGAGGGGCCUUCACAGAUCCGUCAGGCUCAACACUGCCUCCUUAGUGAGCCUGUGAACCACCCAAGACGGCUGGUCAUCAGUGUCAUCCUCUUCCUUUUCCGGACAACUAUCUUUAAAAGAAAAAAAAAGAGUGUCUUUGAAUGUAUCCAUUUUAUCCCCAAAUAAUCUUGUUUAAUAAAUUCCUUAUUAGGCCAAAUCCAAUGUGCUGAAAUAUCUGCCAAGCAUGUCAUUCUACACAAAAGGGAUUUGCAAAUAGCCAGUAGUUGGCGUGAAGAAAGGACAUGUGAAAGCGCUGGGUGUGGAAUUUCCCAUCCUCGGCCGGAGGUCUACUACAGCUCGCUGUUUGCAGAUCUGGGCUGAGCUAUGCAUCACAUUGUUCAUGAAAGAAAAAGCAACUGCUCUCCCCAGUGCCCCUUCCCCGCUCCACAUGGCUGCGAUCAGCAGCCCCAAGACCCUAAUUGCCACAGCCUAUUAGAAAUAAUGAGACUUACAUGGCAGAAGCCAAGGGUAAAAGCGACAUCUCGCAACACGAAAGGUUAAUAUCAACAUAUACAGCUAGUGAGUGCAAAGGGCACCUCAGUUGGUGGCUCAUUAUGGCGGGCUGACCCAUAGGGAAAGUGUCAUUCUGCAGAGAGGCCUUUCUCAGGAUGUGGCAGCAAAAGUUACAAAAGAUAAGGACUUGCCUGUGAAACGCACUCAACUAAUGAGAGCUGAAGAUUGUUUGAAAUAUCCCGAUGACCUCACAGAUGGGGGAUGCUGAUUAAGAUGGCUACAGGAGGCUCCUUUCUUGUCUGACAGCCCAUUGAGAAGCUUUGGUGAGAUGUGACUAACAGGCCGUGAAGGUGUCUCCAUCUUCUCUGACAUGGUCCAUGCUUUGGGCAAAACAAACAUGAAAAAUAAGUCUGAACUGACACACAUGUUUGAAUUUAGUUUUCAGAGCCAUAUUUGGGGGAAGGAGCACUGGUGGGGCCGUCAGCGAUGAUUCCUUUAUGGUAAAGGGUGUUCGUGACUACUUGCGUGACUAAUCGCAUGACUGCGCUGGGGGGUGAGCCAACGGCAAAUUGAGGUCUUGAACACUUGACAAAACAACCCCUGUUCUGUGGGUGAAAUUCUAUAGAGCUUCAUGCGUAAUUAAAUGAAAGUUUCACAAGAGUCUACACCUCAAUCAUUUAAUGCCGAUAUGUAGCACAAAGGAAGGAUUUUUGCCACAUCAAAAUACAUCCAUGAAACAAUGGAGAAAUGUCCCAAGUUUUCAGAGUCAGAGAUACUCACAGAAGAAACCCUGGAGUUCUCUUGACCUUCAUUUAGUGCCUGGGACUCUGA